AUGAUGAUCGCCACCUCUCUUCCGCCUCACUUCUGGGUUGAGGCUUUUACUACUUCCACCUAUCUCAUCAACAUUCAGCCAUCUGCUGCUCUACAGGGUGGUAUUCCUCUCGAGCGUCUUUUUGGUCGUUCUCCUGAUUAUUCGGUGCUCCGUUUGUUUGGCUGCGUUUGCUAUGUUUUGCUUGCCCCUCGUGAACGCACCAAACUAACCGCUCAAUCUGUUGAGUGUGUCUUUCUCGGAUACAGUGAUGAGCAAAAGGGCUAUCGAUGUUGGGAUCCUGUCGGUCGCCGGAUGCGUAUUUCCCGGGAUGUGACCUUUGAUGAAUCUCGUCCUUUCUACCCGCGUCCAUCCUCGGUCUUUUCGAUAGAGGACAUCUCUUUUCUUACAUUUCCGGAUACACCUCCCUCUGUGCCCAAUAUUCCUACUCCCCGCCCUGCCAUUGCAGAUCCAACACCAUCCUCUCCUACGAUUUCUUCUCCUCCCUCAUCGCAUGACUCCCCACCUUCAUCACCGAUACCUUCCCCUUCUCCAGCUUCAUCACCGAUACCUUCCCCUUCUCCACCUUCAUCACCGAUAGAUUCCCCGUCUCCACCUCCAGUGAUUCCACCUCUUCCGUCCUUUCCAUUCCAUUAUACUCGUCGUGCACGUGUUGUGGAUGAGUCUACCAAUGCGCCCUCUACUUCUAAUGUGUCAUCUUACUCCUCUCAACCAACUUAUGGUCUUCGUUCUCGGCCUUGUCCACCCCCUGAUCGAUAUUCUCCUUCUCGCUAUGGUCUUUCGACCGUUCUUGAGCUGACUUCUUAUCGGGAUGCUAUUGUUCAUCCUGAAUGGCAGUUUGCGAUGGCAGAGGAGAUUGCUGCCCUUGAGCGCACCGGCACGUGGGACCUGGUUUCUCUUCCUCCCCGCGUUCGUCCCAUCACUUGUAAGUGGGUCUAUAAGAUUAAGACCCACUCUGAUGGUUCUCUUGAGCGAUAUAAAGCUCGUCUUGUGGCUCGUGGUUUUUAG
rnacentral:rRNA from 1 species